CUCCAAUUUGGUUAUUGGUAGUCUCUGCUCAGUGAAUUUUAAAUAGCCGCAGAAUCCUUAACUGUGCAAAGGUAGCAUAAUAAUUUGUUUUAUAAUUGAAAACUGGAAUAAACGAGCUAACAACAUUAUAACUUUUUUAGCCUUUAAAUUUAGAAUUUGAUAUCUGUGUCAAAAAGCAUAGCUCUCUAGAAAGACGAUAAGACCCUAUAAAACUUUACUUUAACCUUUUGGUGCUUAUUUUAGUAUUUAGGGCCAAGAAAUAAGUUAAGCUGGGGCGGCAUCUAAUAAACAUUAGAAGAAAUUACACAUAUUUGUGAUUAGUAGGAUCUUUAAAAGAUUUAGAAUAAGUUACUUUAGGGAUAACAGUGAAAUGUUCUGUGUUUUUAUAGGAUACAGGAAGACUUUCCACCUCGAUGUUGAAUUGGGGGGCCAUUUUCAUCUUUGAUUACUGGGGGUCUGUUCGACCUUUAAACCCUC
rnacentral:rRNA from 3 species